rnacentral:rRNA from 1 species
UACGGAGGGGGCUAGCGUUGUUCGGAAUUACUGGGCGUAAAGCGCGCGUAGGCGGCUUUGUAAGUUAGAGGUGAAAGCCCGGAGCUCAACUCCGGAACUGCCUUUAAGACUGCAUCGCUAGAAUUGUGGAGAGGUGAGUGGAAUUCCGAGUGUAGAGGUGAAAUUCGUAGAUAUUCGGAAGAACACCAGUGGCGAAGGCGACUCACUGGACACAUAUUGACGCUGAGGGGCGAAAGCGUGGGGAGCAAACAGG